AGCGAACGCUGGCGGCAGGCCUAAUACAUGCAAGUCGAGCGCACCUUCGGGUGAGCGGCGGACGGGUGAGUAACGCGUGGGAAUGUGCCCUUUGGUACGGAACAACUGAGGGAAACUUCAGCUAAUACCGUAUGUGCCCCCUCCUUUAACCAGGAGGGCGGGAAAGAUUUAUUGCCAUUAGAGCAGCCCGCGUUGGAUUAGGUAGUUGGUGGGGUAAAGGCCUACCAAGCCUACGAUCCAUAGCUGGUCUGAGAGGAUGAUCAGCCACACUGGGACUGAGACACGGCCCAGACUCCUACGGGAGGCAGCAGUAGGG
rnacentral:rRNA from 1 species